rnacentral:rRNA from 1 species
CCUACGGGGGGCAGCAGUGGGGAAUAUUGGGCAAUGGGCGCAAGCCUGACCCAGCAACGCCGCGUGAAGGAAGAAGGCUUUCGGGUUGUAAACUUCUUUUCUCAGGGACGAAGCAAGUGACGGUACCGGAGGAAUAAGCCACGGCUAACUACGGGCCAGCAGCCGCGGUAAUACGUGGGUGGCAAGCGUUAUCCGGAUUUACUGGGUGUAAAGGGCGUGUAGGCGGGAACGCAAGUCAGAUGUGAAAACCAGGGGCUCAACCUGUGGCCUGCAUUGGAAACUGUUUUUCUUGAGUACUGGAGAGGCAGCCGUAAUUCCUCGUGUAGCGGUGAACUGCGUAGAUAUUAGGAGGAACACCAGUGGCGAAGGCGGUCUGCUGGACAGCAACUGACGCUGAGGCGCGAAAGCGUGGGGAGCAAACAGGUUUAGAUACCCUUGUAGUC